AUCUGACUGAGAAUCCGGGGUCACAUUACAAUCGGCGUAAUAUGUGGCAGCCCACGGAUCUCACAGAAAUGCGCAAAUUUUGGGCCCUAGUUAUUGUGCAUUGUCAAAAAGCAGAGUAUCAGGUCCUACUGGUACAAGCACCCCAUCCUGGCUACCCCUCUUUUCCCUGGGGUUAUGAAGAGGGAUCGCUAUGAGCAGCUGCUGCGUUUCCUCCACUUCAACGAUAACACACUG